CCUACGGGCGGCUGCAGUGGGGAAUAUUUCACAAUGGGGGAAACCCUGAUGCAGCGACGCCGCGUGAGUGAAGAAGUAAUUCGUUAUGGAAAGCUCUAUCAGCAGGGCAGAAAAUGACGGUACCUGAGUAAGAAGCCCCGGCUAACUACGUGCCAGCAGCCGCGGUCAUCCGUAGGGGGCAAGCGUUAUCCGGAUUUACUGGGGGUAAAGGGAGCGUAGACGGCAGUGCAAGUCUGGAGUGAAAGGCGGGGGCUCAACCCCCGGACUGCUCUUGACACUGUACGGCUGGAGUGCAGGAGAGGUAAGUGGAAUUCCUAGUGUAGCGGUGAAAUGCGUAGAUAUUAGGAGGAACACCGGUGGCGAAGGCGGCCUACUGGACUGUAACUGACGUUGAGGCUCGAAAGCGUGGGGAGCAAACAGGAUUAGAUACCCCAGUAGUC
rnacentral:rRNA from 1 species